rnacentral:rRNA from 1 species
AACGAACGCUGGCGGCAUGCCUAACACAUGCAAGUCGAACGAGACCUUCUGGUCUAGUUGCGCACGGGUGCGUAACGCGUGGGAACCUGCCUUUAGGUUCGGAAUAACUUAGAGAAAUUUGUGCUAAUACCGGAUGAUGUCUUCGGACUAAUGAUUUAUCGCCUUUAGAUGGGCCCGCGUUGGAUUAGCUAGUUGGUGGGGUAAAGGCCUACCAAGGCGACGCUCCAUAGCUGGUCUGUGAGGAUGAUCAGCCACACUGGGACUGAGACACGGCCCAAGCUCCUAAGGGAGGCAGCAGUGGGGAAUAUUGGAGAAUGGGCGAAAGGCGGGGCCAGCAAGGCCGCGUGAGGGAAGAAGGCCUUAGGGUUGUAAAAGCCUUUUAGCCGGGAGGGUAAUGACAGUAGCGGGAGAAUAAGCUCCGGCUAACUACGUG